CAGGGUAUGUGUACAUGUGUCAAGUAGAUACUGACAUGCCGGGGUAUGUGUAGGCAUGUCCACUACCGAAAAGCAGCAUUAUACAUAGCAUUUCCAUUAUGAAAUUCAUGACUUUACUUGAGAGGAAAUCAGCAGGAUACACACAGAUCCUGUAUUUCAAGAAGUACAGGAAAUUCAGAUGUUCUUCCUGUAAUACUCAUACUCAGCUUGGCUUGGUGGCUUUGACGUCUGGUUGCACAUAACUGACACACUGUGAUAAUUAUAAAAGUCUGGUUGCACAUAACUGACACAUCUGUGAUAAUUAUAAAAGAUCACAAGUAAAGCAUAAGGGAUCAUAACACUCAGUCUGAUAUUUCUUUCUUGAUCUGUUAGACUUGGACAUGUUGGGCUGGUAGACGGGAUAGCUAGUAGCUUGAAAGCAUGGAGCACAUGUAUCAAUCAGAAGUCUGUGAGGUAGCAUUCUUGACAAUUAAAUUGACCAAGGGUGUCAUUCACACACACGUCUGAUCUAUAUAAUGCACAGUCUUAAUUCCACGAGACCUGUGCUGUAUGCUAAUCACGCUAAUCACGAAAUGGAUAUCCAAGACAGCCCUCCAAUGAGAGGACCAUAUAGGAGAUACCUGUAGGAGAUACCCCAGCUACCCGAUCCCUUCAUAAAGAUGCCCAGUCCAGCUGUGAUGAAAGUGAUAAUGGACUAGGUGAUGGAGGAAGCGAUGGAUCAAGCGACAAUGAUGGACCAAGUGGACGUGAUGAUGACGAUGAUGGAUCAAGCGAUGAUGGAUCAAGCGAUGACGAUGAUGGACGAUGAUGGACGUGAUGAGCGGGAUAGACCAAGCGAUGACAAUGUGAUGGACCAAGUGAAGGACCAAAUGGAUCAAGUGAUGACGAUGAUGGACCAAGUGAAGGACCAAAUGAUGACGAUGAUGACGAUGAUGGACCACGAAUCAAGUGAUGAGGAUGAAUCAGAGGACGACCAUCUGUCUAUGAGCCAACUACUGUCUAUGAGCCAACUACUAUACCCUGGGACAGUGUUGGGUGUCUACUGUCACUAUUAGAAUUUAAACGAAUGUGCAGGGUUUCGUUCACCACAAUGGUUAUGCUACUCCAACCUGUUGACAAUAAACUCCCUACUACUAAGUACCAUCUCCUCAAGUUUGCGUUCCGUUUUAACGAUGGCUACACCAGAUUUCGCCGUUGUUGUGGUGAUAGGCUUCCAAACAAUCGAAGAUGCCAAUCGUCCAAUUGUCAACGAAGUGAGCCGAACAGCAUCAUUCUUGCUCCACCUUCCAACACAUCUAAUUUUUAUGGCUUAUUAAUUUGUCUUAACCCUUUCCCCGUUCCCCGCUUUAGCCGACUAUAGUCGGCAUGGCUACUGAUAAAUUUCAAAAAAUCAUUGUGCACGCUGUGUUGGAGCUAUGCGCACGCUGCAGGUACCAGCACAUGUGUAUUGAGCUGUUCUUCCACGUGGUAUUUUUAAUAUUUUGCUUCGAGGUACGGUUCGAUCAGAAUUGUCGAAAGAAAAGUGACCGUUUUAUAAUUGCUACAAGAUCUUCGUAGUACAACCUCAGGGAGGUUCUAGGGAAGCUAGAGAGUGAGGCCUAUGGCCUUGUAGAGUGAGAGGACAGUGACUGAGCUAGGUAAGUAGGAAGUUUCCUUUCAGAGGUCAAACUAAAACAAAAAGAGCCUGAGAAUCCGACGCACUUGAUCUUCCUGAACCUGGUAAGUCACUAUAGAGUAGCAUUUGUAGUCUUGAUAGCUUCACUAUAGGGAGGCUAGUUAGUACAACAGUGAACAUCAUGAGCCACCAUUGAACUUGUAAACCUGUGUGUAGGUGAGUAGGUGAAGAAAAUAUUUCCCGGGAAAAGGGCGUCUGUCGUUAGAACCGCAGAUCAUGAUGAGUGAUGAGUGAGCCAUGUCACCGUGAGAACAUUCUGAACACUUAUAUCAUGUUUUCAGUCACUUCGUAACAUCAUACAAUAUUGUUUGUGUACAUAAUUGUGAAUUUAACAAUUGUUAUUUGU